CUACCUUGAAAAACUCCAGUGAGGCCUGAGUUCUAAUCCUGGAUCUGUCAUCCAUCAGCUGAAGGGUCUUGGGUAAGUCAUUUAACCUCUGAGCCUCAGAUGCUCCCUCCCCUGUAACACCGGGGGUCACAGGACCAAGCGAGCAUGGGAACUUGAUGCUGCCAGAUCAGGGUGGGAAGAAGGAAGACAGAGCCCCUAGGUCCUCGCUCUACACGAGGUGACCUGUGUGCCCCUAGGGGCCCUUAUUUCCAUGUGGACACCCUAGCUUGUUUCCUCUGAGUAAAGCACCUGGCAGGCACCCCUCUCCACCCAAAGCCUGGGGAGUCCAGCCUGCUGGGAGGACAGAGGGUGACCUGCUGUCCUGGCCUCCAGGGGAGGUCCUGUCCCCUGUACCUGGGAUGCCUGCCUCCUCACCCUCAGUAGGCUGAUGAUCUGCAUGAAUGCCUAUCCCUCAUCCUCUUGCUGGGCUAACCUGACCCUAGACCACAGGCUGGCAAGUAUCUGGAAGUGGACACAAAGGAGGCAGGCCUCUCUUGAGGCAUCCAGCCUGUGGGACUCUCAGCUCCCACCACCCUCUCUAGAAGUGAGUGAGGAGGAGCUCACUCCUCAUCUCUCAAUGAGAAGUUUGUCAAGGAGAGUCUUUGUCCUCAGGCGUUUCCAAACUGUCGCCCACCAGCUGCACAGCCUCUCUCCCCUACCAAGCUCUUCUGAAAAAUCUUGUGUGUCUUUUCAAAAUAGAAUUAAAUGACAAGAACUGACUAUUUAGGGAGGGGUUCCUGAGGGGAAAUGGAAUCUCUUCAACCUUGAAAUUACAGCAGCUUUUCUUUUCUCAAAAGAAAAGAAAAACAUGUCAGAUCAUUGAUAUUCUGAGCCAGACCUUGUUUUGAAGUAUGCUCUCCUCUGUCCUUUCACAAACUACAGCCCUUCUCCUUCUUUGAAAAUAAGAUCACAUCAAGUCAGGGAUUAGAAAUGGGAAAACUUCAAUCAGAGCCUCCCUCUGCCAGUACACACCUCAGUACACUCCAAGGCCUGCAGAAUCAGCUCCCGCUACAGCCCAGCAUCAUCAUUCAAAACGCACCCGCAGGAGCCUCAAGCCCACAGGCCCCUAGACCACAGACCAGCACCUGGGGUGACCCGUGAUGGACGUGCAGCUCCAAGUGAGACUACGUCCCUGGACGCACAGAGCUUGGUCCAGCUUCCUGGAUACCUCUAUGUCUCCUGAGACACAGCCUAUGCAGCAGAACCAGCUGUGGAGUUGGGCAGAUCUGCUCCCCAGAUCAGAAGGCCCUGUGAGGCCUGCAUGGCCAGGAAGAGAGAUCUCACCAGAAACCAAAUCAGCCAGAAUCUUGAUCUCAGACUUCUAGCCUCCAGAACUGGUUUAAGAACGUGCCUCUGGCUUUGAGGGAAGAUCCACAGAUCCCACAGAGCCCUCCUCCUGUGUCUUCCCGUGGUCCCUUGUCUCUCUCAGGACCGGCCUUUCCUCGUGCUGUCCCCUCACGCUGGAACCCGCCGUCUUGCCUGGCUGGCUGCUCCUCACCUUCAGGUCUCAGCUGAAAAGUCUCUUUUUCAGCAUGGUUUGACGAGCCGUGUGCAGAACCGGGCCUAGGAUCCAAACCCGCCAACCCUGGGCCACUGAAGUGGAGCAUGUGAACUUAACCACUACACCACUGGGCCGGCCCACACACAGUUAUUGUUUCUUGUCUAAAAGACCAGCUGAAGAACCUAGAAAGGAAGAAGGAAAAAUUUUCCUUCCCUCUGGCUCCCAGCCCUGCCUCAGAAUAGCUGGAAAAGGAGGGCCCUACGUGGCAAUCCCUGCAAUGAGAAAACCAUGUGUCAAAGCUGUUGCCGAAUCCCUUGCUCUAUUUUUACCUUCCUGACACUACUUCUUUGAGCCUGAGGAGGGAUCCUGGCCUGAGGUGGCCCGAGCCGGCGUCUCCGAGGCAGAUGUGGCCAGCCUUCACCUUGUUCUCCAGAAACCACCAAAAAGCCGGUUAUUCAUGUCUCUUGACCAGAAAUAAAUGCAUUAGACAAAUGUUCUCAGGCAAUCUUGAGGGAUGUGAACAUAAAAUUACCCCAUAAAUUACUUUUGUUUCCUUUCCUCAGCUCAAAGUUGGCUUUUUUGUUCGCAUUAGUUACAUUAAAAUUGGACGGUAAUUAAUGCUCUUAAAGUAGAAUGUCCAUAUUCCUAAGUUUAGGAAGAAAAACCACCUAGGAAUGAAAAAAUGUGGACAUAUGUGAAAUGCCAUUCUAUUAGCCACAGAAUCCUUUAUGAGCCUCAGUAGGGAGCGCCCGUCAAGUGGGAUUUGUGGCAGAACACACCAAGGCAGACCGUGUCUGCGGUUCCCUUUCUCUCUGUUCCCGGCUCCAGGUCAAGGAAGCCUUUGACACCCGUAGCCAGAAGCUCUGGGGCUUUGCCAACCUCUAAUUACAUUUCUUUUUUUAAAUAUUGAUAAACAGUUCCUCUGUUGCUUCAAAUGUUUUUAAACACUGAACCUGUAGCUGUUGGCUCUGAACAAGGAGAGCAGAGCCUCUAGGCUUCCUUAGGCCCACAGAGCCUCUCCCUGCACCUCGGGGCUCUUGGACUUGCAUUCAAACACUGAAGGAAGAAAACUGUCUCUUUGGGCGAGGGUGUGUGUGUGGGGGUCACUUCAGGAUUCAAAAUCAGGCCUGGCUAGGCUCUAGGGUCAGGCCCUGCUCUCCCCAGAUGGGGACUUCUGGCCUCUCCUACUACCUGGGCUCCUACUCUGGGAUCAGGGUGGAGGUGUGGGACUGAGGCAGGAGGGGCCACCAUCCAACUCCACUGCCCUGUCGCCUGAUGCCCCACUGCACAUCCAGUCACCACUUUGCUUUACUGGUGAAUGCCAGUCCCUGGUUCCACAGGCUUCGGAUGUAAAAAGGACAACACUAGUGUCCUCCCCACCAACAUGUCUGCUACCUGGGAUGGAGGGGAGUGGGACUGGAAGGGACCCCCUUCAAGUCUCAUGGAGUCUAGAAGAGCUAAGUCCAUCCAUCCCAUCAUGGGGACACCCACACAGAAGGACCCUCCAGGCCCAGGCUCCCCCAGAGGCAGCUGACUGCAGUGUGUGGGGAGGGCAGUGGUCCCCAUUCCUCCUGGAUGACUCAGAGCCCAGUCAGCUGCUUCUUGCCCAGACUGCCAGGUUCCCUGUCCUCAUUGAUUAGAAGACUUGGCCAGCAGCCAGGUAACAACGUCACUUCUGUAGCGACCGUGUCCAGAGAGGAGUGCCUUGUUACAAAUGAGGCAUGUCAGUGACGUCCAUGGUACCCCGAAGCCCUUGGCUCCACGAAGCCGAGGCCAAGUUCCUGACGUCAUCACACCUCCCCACUCUACACCACAGCAGGGCAGCAACUAUUGUCACCACAGUUUUACAGAUGAGGAAACUGAGGCCCAGAGAGGUAAAGCAUGCUGCUCAAGAUCACACUGGAGGAGUUGGGAUUUGCACCCAGGUCCAUCUGACUCUGAAACCAUAGCUCUUCUCAAUCCAUCCUGCCACAGAGCCUCCUGGUCCCACUUCCUGCCUUUGGCAAGUGGCCUCUGGAAGGGGCUACCUUCAAAUACAUGCAUCAGGGGUGAGGUGGUCCUGGGUAAGGAUCCAGGGCUCUG